rnacentral:lncRNA from 1 species
CACUGCAAGUCAUCAGACAUUGCACCCAAUAUGUAGUACCUUGCUUUGUUAUCAUCAUCCAUCCACUUUUUCAGAGACGCUCUCUGUUCAGCGGUCGGACGUACUGGCAUGGCAGGUGGGUCCUGGUCCAAGACAUGGGUCAAUUUUUUAGAACCCAGAAUAAUUUUGUAGUUUCUUAACCAGUCUUUGAAAUUGGGUCCAGUCAAUCUGUGGGUGUCUAGUAU